rnacentral:lncRNA from 1 species
GAAUGCGUGGGGUGUAGUAAUGGUAAGGGAAGGGCCAAAGAACCUGGAACAUAGACCAAGCCACAUGAGGAACCUCCAUACAAAUGGCAAUGCAGCCUGAGCGCGAAAUCCAAGGCAUGGGCCAAGGUCCAAUGGAGAAACACCCUCUGAAAGUAAGAAAAAUAACCAUGAAAGUAAAGUGAAAGAAAGGAAGAAAAAGAAAA